CAGUGACAGUCUCAUUUGAGGAAGCUGAAGGCACCAGAUGUGCAGGACAGGGGUGGGUAGUGAAAAGAAGGAAGGAGGCUGGGACGAGCAGGGAGGAGGCCUUGCCUAGAGCCCGGGAGACAGCCAGAGUUGCCGUGGGCUCAGAAUGGCAAGAAGGUGCUCCUGCGGAAUCCCAGAUACCUGGUUCCAGGAAUCAAACCCAGAGGAGCAAGAGGGCAAGAACUCCCACAACAGAGGAGGCUGAGCUGGGGCUGAAGGGCCAUGCUGGUGCUGCUUGGAGUCUCCACCACUGGGAGCAUAGCUCGCCUGGGCGCCGGGCGCUGAGCUGUGCGCUUUCUGUUCUUUAUUGCCUUGAAACGUCACACUGGCCUUAAGAAAUGGAUACUCUUACUACCUUUUGCAGGUCUUGCCGGGGAAUCUGGAAGGAAAACCGCCCCUCCAGCAAGAGAAGGACAUUUUGACCCAGUGCCUCUUCCCACUGGUUUUGCAGAUGAGCCCUCCCUCUUCCCACCUGUUCCUCUUGCACCAGUUUUAGAGAUGACUUCUGCUCUGCUGGGCGCCCUUGGUGACUAACACAGGCAAGUGUGUGGGCCGCCACUUGUCCUGGCCUCUACCCCACCUCCCUGCCCCAUGUCCUCAUCGCUGCCUCGUGGCUUCUGGGGGCAAGGCCUCGGGGAGGUGUGAAGCUGUCCCCCCCACCUCCCCGAGCUC
rnacentral:lncRNA from 1 species